AGGAUGUGUAUUUUCUUUGCUGUUGAGAUGAAACAGAUUUAUUAUCAUAUGUCAAUCAGUUAGAUGUGAAGUUUAUCACAUGUUCUUAGCAGGAGGUCUAAUUUCAUCAGUUCCAAUACAAAUAUACAUGUCUUGUUAAUUAGUGACCACUUGUGGCAUUUGGUUUCCUUUGUCCUUUGUUUCUUGAUACAUUAAUCUGGGUGCAGUUUUGUAACUCCUCCCACUUAGGAGUAUCCCAUUAAGAAGUUGUGUAUUAAAAACCUGUGUAUGCUGCCUUGAGUAUUCAUUUAUCUAAAUGCAGAUUAAGCAGUUAUAGAAUAAUCUUGGCUAAUAGUGCUAAUAGUGUUUUAGCUAAAAACUUGAACUUUCAGUGUUUGGAUUACUUUACAAAAGCUAUAUGACAGUUUUUAAACAACUAAAUAUAAUUCAAACUAUAUAACCUGAAAAAA
rnacentral:lncRNA from 1 species